GAUGAACGCUAGCGGCAGGCUUAAUACAUGCAAGUUGAGGGGCAGCAUGAUAUACGCGAGUAUAUUGAUGGCGACCGGCGGACGGGUGAGUAAUAGGUAGGAGACCUACCUCAUACAGGGGGAUAGCAUAGAGAAAUCUGUGGUAAUACCCCAUGAGGUUAUAUGAAUAGAGGCAUAUAAUCAAAGCAUAAGCGAUUAUGCGGUAUGAGAGGGGCCUACUGACCAUUAGCUAGUUGGUGAGGUAAGGGCUCACCAAGGCGAAGAUGGUUAGGGGUUUUGAGAGAGAGACCCCCCACAUUGGAACUGAGAGACGGUCCAGACUCCUACGGGAGGCAGCAGUAGGGAAUAUUGGGCAAUGGGGCGAAAGCCUGACCCAGCCAUGCCGCGUGAAGGAGACGGCCUUAUGGGUUGUAAACUUCUUUACUACGCGAAUAGAGGUUAGUACGAGAUACUAAUAGGAAGGUAGUGUAGUAAAAGCACCGGCUAACUCCGUG
rnacentral:rRNA from 1 species